CGGGGUAUAGCUUAGUUGGCUAAAGCGCAAGGCUGGGGGUCUUGAGAUCGACAGUUCAAGUCUGUCUACCCCGACCA
rnacentral:tRNA from 1 species